ACGGAAGGCAGCAGUGAGGAAUAUUGGUCAAUGGGCGGAAGCCUGAACCAGCCAAGUCGCGUGAAGGAUGAAGGUAUUAUGUAUUGUAAACUUCUUUAGCAGCAGAGUAAUAAGGGAGUCGUGACUCCUGAUGCAAGUAUGCUGAAAAUAAGGAUCGGCUAACUCCGUGCCAGCAGCCGCGGUAAUACGGAGGAUCCGAGCGUUAUCCGGAUUUAUUGGGUUUAAAGGGUGCGCAGGCGGCGCUUUAAGUCAGUGGUCAAAUCGUGAGGCUCAACCUCAUCCCGCCAUUGAUACUGGAGCGCUUGAUUGCGGUUGAGGUAGGCGGAAUUCGUCGUGUAGCGGUGAAAUGCAUAGAUAUGACGAAGAACCCCGAUUGCGUAGGCAGCUUACCAAGCCGUAGAUGACGCUCAUGCACGAAAGUGCGGGGAUCGAACAGGAUUAGAUACCCUGGUA
rnacentral:rRNA from 1 species